rnacentral:rRNA from 1 species
UAUGCAAUCUACCUUUCACAGAGGGAUAGCCCAGAGAAAUUUGGAUUAAUACCUCAUAGUAUGCUAAGUUGGCAUCAUUGCUCCAUUAAAGUCACAACGGUGAAAGAUGAGCAUGCGUCCCAUUAGCUAGUUGGUAAGGUAACGGCUUACCAAGGCUACGAUGGGUAGGGGUCCUGAGAGGGAGAUCCCCCACACUGGUACUGAGACACGGACCAGACUCCUACGGGAGGCAGCAGUGAGGAAUAUUGGACAAUGGGCGCAAGCCUGAUCCAGCCAUGCCGCGUGCAGGAUGACGGUCCUAUGGAUUGUAAACUGCUUUUGCACAGGAAGAAACAACUCUACGUGUAGAGUCUUGACGGUACUGUGAGAAUAAGGAUCGGCUAACUCCGUGCCAGCAGCCGCGGUAAUACGGAGGAUCCAAGCGUUAUCCGGAAUCAUUGGGUUUAAAGGGUCCGUAGGCGGUUUAGUAAGUCAGUGGUGAAAGCCCAUCGCUCAACGGUGGAACGGCCAUUGAUACUGCUAGACUUGAAUUAUUAGGAAGUAACUAGAAUAUGUAGUGUAGCGGUGAAAUGCUUAGAGAUUACAUGGAAUACCAAUUGCGAAGGCAGGUUACUACUAAUGGAUUGACGCUGAUGGACGAAAGCGUGGGUAGCGAACAGGAU